UUUCCGUAGGUGAACCUGCGGAAGGAUCAUUAAAGUUAUAGUCCCCCGGCCCCUCCGGGCUGGGGUCUUCUAUACCACCCUUUGUUUAUUACACCUUUGUUGCUUUGGCAGGCCUGCCCUCGGGCUGCUGGCUCCGGCCGGCUCGUGCCUGCCAGAGGACCUAAACUCUGUUUGUAUAUGAAGUCUGAGUACUAUAGAAUAGUUAAAACUUUCAACAACGGAUCUCUUGGUUCUG
rnacentral:misc_RNA from 1 species